GACGUAGGGCGCGAGCGUUGUCCGGAUUUAUUGGGCGUAAAAGAGCUCGUAGGACGGCUUGUCGCGUCGUUCGUGAAAACCUGCAGCUCAACUGCAGGCUUGCGGUCGAUACGGGCAGGCUAGAAGUUCGGGUGAGGGGAGACUGGAAUUCCUGGUGUGAGCGGGUGGAAAAUGCGCAGAUAUACAGGGAGGAACACCGGGUGGC
rnacentral:rRNA from 1 species